rnacentral:rRNA from 1 species
ACUAAAUAGAUACCCGGGUAGUCCCAGCUGUAAACGAUGCAGACUAGGUGUUUGGACGGCCACGUGCCGUUCUAGUGCCGCAGGGAAGCUGUUAAGUCUGCCGCCUGGGGAGUACGAUCGCAAGAUUGAAACUUAAAGGAAUUGGCGGGGGAGCACCACAAGGGGUGAAGCUUGCGGUUUAAUUGGAGUCAACGCCGGAAAUCUCACCGGGAGCGACAGCAGUAUGAAAGCCAGAUUGAAGGUCUUGCUAGACGAGCUGAGAGGAGGUGCAUGGCCGUCGCCAGUUCGUGCCGUGAGGUGUCCUGUUAAGUCAGGCAACGAUCGAGACCCGCGUCCUCUGUUGCAACCAGCUUUGUGCUGGGCACACUGAGGAGACCGCCACUGAUAAAGUGGAGGAAGGAGCGGGCCACGGCAGGUCAGUAUGCCCCGAAUCUCCCGGGCCACACGCGAGCUGCAAUGGCAAGUACAAUGGGUUCCGACCUCGAAAGGGGGAGGCAAUCUCGAAAGCUUGCCGUAGUUGGAAUUGA